rnacentral:rRNA from 1 species
UCAGACGAUGCGUCAAUGCAUAUCAAUAAGCGGAGGAAAAGAAACUAACAAGGAUUCCCUUAGUAACGGCGAGUGAAGCGGGAAGAGCUCAAAUUUGAAAUCUUGAAAGGUCACCUUUCACGAAUUGUAGUUUAAAGAAGUGUUUUCUGCUGAAGUUUUGGUAAAAGUUCUUUGGAAUAGGACAUCAUAGAGGGUGAGAAUCCCGUAUUUGACCAUUAUUUUCAGCUUUGUGAUACACUUUCAAAGAGUCGGAUUGUUUGGGAAUGCAGUCCAAAAUGGGUGGUAAAUUUCAUCUAAAGCUAAAUAUUGGCGAGAGACCGAUAGCGAACAAGUACCGUGAGGGAAAGAUGAAAAGAACUUUGAAAAGAGAGUUAAAUAGUACGUGAAAUUGUCAAAAGGGAAGCGUUUAACACCAGUGUUGUUUUCUGAAAAUCAACCUCUGUUAGCUUUAUGCAUGUUUGUUUAGACCUAAUCAGCUAUCUUGCAUGUUCUAUUGUUUGCAGUGGUGCACUUUUCAGUUUACAGGUCAACAUCAGUUUUUUUUACCGUAAAAAAGUUAAAGAAAGGUAGCUCAUGGCUCCGGUCGUGAGUGUUAUAGUCUUUUUCCUAUGCGGUAGGAGAGACUGAGGUCUGCAGUGUAGGCUAUUUGGCUAGAUACUCAGGUGCUAUGUGAUACCAUUUCAUAAACAACUUGUUGAUUAUGUUUUGUCUAAUGCAUACUCGCUUGUACUAUCAUACCUACGCUUAGGAUGUUGACUGAUAUGUAGUCGUA